GGGCCUCUAGCUCAAUUAGGCAGAGCAACGGACUCUUAAUCCGCAGGUUCGGGGUUCGAUUCCCCGGGGGCCCACCA
rnacentral:tRNA from 1 species